AUUGAACGCUGGCGGCAUGCCUUACACAUGCAAGUCGAACGGUAACGCGGGGCAACCUGGCGACGAGUGGCGAACGGGUGAGUAACGCAUCGGAACGUGCCCAGUAGUGGGGGAUAGCCCGGCGAAAGCCGGAUUAAUACCGCAUACGACCUACGGGUGAAAGGGGGGGAUCGCAAGACCUCUCGCUAUUGGAGCGGCCGAUGUCAGAUUAGGUAGUUGGUGGGGUAAAGGCCCACCAAGCCUUCGAUCUGUAGCUGGUCUGAGAGGACGACCAGCCACACGGGGACUGAGACACGGCCCAGACUCCUACGGGAGGCGGCAGUGGGGAAUUGUGGACAAUGGGCGAAAGCCUGAUCCAGCCAUGCCGCGUGCGGGAAGAAGGCCUUCGGGUUGUAAACCGCUUUUGUCAGGGAAGAAACGCUCUGGGCUAAUACCCCGGGGUAAUGACGGUACCUGAAGAAUAAGCACCGGCUAACUACGUGCCAGCAGCCGCGGUAA
rnacentral:rRNA from 1 species